rnacentral:rRNA from 1 species
UAUAGGUCAAGCUACAAAGGGCGCAUGGUGAAUGCCUUGGCAUCAGGAGCCGAUGAAGGACGUGAUAAGCUGCGAUAAGCUUCGGGUAGGCGCACAUAGCCUGAGAUCCGAAGAUCUCCGAAUGAGGAAACUCACAUGGGAAACCCCAUGUAUCAUUAAGUGAAUACAUAGCUUAAUGAAG